UUUGCUGCUUAACCACCCCCAGGGCAGUGCCCUCAAGCACAUCUCUCUUCCCUGGAGUCUAGACCCCAAACCCUAAAGACCACCAAACAUCCACGUUUCCCCACCUCCUUUCCUGCGGAUGACUGGGAAUAUUCAUUACCCUGAAGAGAAGAGGCCACAGGAGUAAGGUCUUUGUGGUGUCUCUCCCCAUCAGAUGGGGGCCCCCAAAUGUGCGGUGAUCCAACUGAGUAGAAGCCAGCAAACGAUCAGGAAGAGUAAAUGAACAAUCCAAAAGAAAAUGGCUGAGGGAUAUGAACAAGUAAUUCAUGAAGGAAAUGUGUUUCUGGAUACCGGAUGUAAUCUUGGCUGGGGCCGCGAAUUAUCUGCCUGGAGGUUGAGGAAGCCAGAUGGGGUAAGGAGCACCCGUGAUCACUUCGGAAAGGACUUCUUUACCCUUUGCCAUCCUAAGGAAUGCAGUGUCCCCAGCACCUCUGGUCAGCCCUGGGGAGAAACGGGAAUGUCUCCAAGGAACAUCAUCGCCAUCUUCCCUCCUGUGGGCCUUUCCCUCACCGCAGCUCUGCCCUGCUGUGGUGUGGUGCCAAGUGUGCUCCCUGGCACAGUUCUUCCUCUCUGGGCUCUAGGGAACCACACUGGGUUUGGUACUGGCCCGUCAUUGCACUCUGAGCCAUUGUGACUGAGGGGACUGGGCCAAACUGCCUCUACUAGGCUCCAGUGCCCAGGUUCUGGGACGGAAGGACCACCCCACGUCUAAGUACUGGAAAUAGGCUCGCGCAGUAGAGAACAUUAGAGUCGCUUAAUGGCAACAGCUUGAGAGCUGCUGAGGGAGCACUAGGAGAAACGAAAGGUCCUUGAUGUACCUGCAUUUGCUAUCACUGUGGAGACCAAGUCCUUCCUGAAGGAGCUCUGGUGUUUGACAGCUCAUGAAUGUUUUGUCUUUCCUCCCUCCCCUUUCUUCUCUGGGAAGCCAGACAUCGUCCUCCCAGCUGAAUUUUUGUAACUGCCUGAGGAAGUGGCUGCUGAAUAUUCUUUCAGCUUUAUUUCCCUUUCUUCUGUAUCCAAAGCAGCAUUUAGGCUCCAGUCAGUGGUGUGGAAAUGACAGGAUUCUCAUGACAGGAUGGGAGGCUAAGGACCCGGCAAGUUUCAUUAGCGGUGGGUCAGGGCCCUCCAGGAGGAGCUGGAUGGGAGUUCAGUUAGGCUUUGCUGGAGAGGAGCGUGCUCUACGGACUGGGCUCCCUGGGCGCCGAGGGCAGCUGCCUCUUGCCUGCACAUUUUCUCCAUCCAGGAUAUGUCCUUGAGAACCCACUAUCCAGAGUUGCAGCCACUGGUUUGAGGUGCAGAGCUCCUGGUGGGUGCGGAAAUGCCGGGGUGUAGAAGCCAGAUGCCUGUGCUACAAGGUGGGCAUGUAUGUGGGCUUCGGAUAGGAAAAACUGAGACCAAUUAUGCUAUUUCUUCUUUGGGCUCUGGCUCAGGAGGCUUCCUGGUACAGAUGGCUUGCUGGGAAGGAGUAGACUCUUAGUCCCUCUCCAUGUUAGGCCUUGUGUCCCUGCAUGGUCACACGGUGGGGCGGGGGGAGUGUGUGUGUGUGUGUGAGAGAGAGAGAGAGAGAGAGAGAAACAGAUGGGGAAAAAGUGAUAGAACUAGAGAUACUCUGAGAAAGAGAGAUUUAUACUAUAUGUGAAUUAAUUCAGUCAAAUGAAUUUUUGCCAUAUGUUUGUCAGGUAAGAGCUUAUAUAUUAUGCAAACUCUAUUAAUCAGAGUCUAAGCUAACUUCUGAUAAAAUUGCUUAGUUUGUUUCUGAAAUCAAAGAGUGUUCUCCAAACCAUCUUAUUGGUAACUGUGCUAUUCUUGGGGACAGUUGUGUUAAAGCCAAGGAAUUCAGAACAUCUGCCUCCCACCUAUCCAGCCCCAACCCCCUACCCUCCCUGAAAUUUUCUCUGGGAAAGCACAGCCAAAUGGAACACAUGGAAAAUAAAUGGCUAAAACCACAUGUUUGGCAGUUGGUUUGGGCUUGAAGUCUCAUUCCACAGAAUUUCAGUAAAGCCAACUGGACUAUAGGAGUACAAUGUUUCAUUUUCCCCCAACUAGUUACACCCAGUCCAUCACCCAUCAGCUGCCUGGGAAUGGAAGGACAGGGAGAGAGAGAGAGGAGAGACCAGGGGAAAAAAUUUAAUUGUUUCCAAUCUGAUGCCUGAGAUGGCCACUAAACUGCAUCUGGAGACUGGGCUUGGGCUUGGCUGUUGUCAAAGAAGAGGGAGUAGAGCAGUUCAGAGAACAAGCCUUGGGUCCACUUCCCACUCCAGCUGCACGCCUGAGAGCAGGAAAGGAAAGCUACUUCCAAGUGCAUUCCACUCCCAAGUGAGCAUUCCCCUUAUGGUGCCCCUGCCUCAUGCUGAAAUUGGCCCCAUCAGUGUUCUAGAGUCUGACAACCCCACCAGUUCACCUGGUCACCCCUGGUUCCAGUGGCAUUUGCCAUGGGAAGGGGAAGAGGUGAAGAAGCCCGUGUGUGAAGAGGGUGGAGGGAGUAGAAGAAGGAGUCUCUAGAAUUUGAGGCUUCUGGAGAAAGAAAUCACCCAGUCCCAUCCACACAGUCUAGAGAUGAGGGAAUUUAUCUAAAUGGAGUGAAUUCCGCCAGCAGGACCAGCAUUAGAGCCAACAUCUUUGGCCUGGACACCUUCACUUGCCCUAAAUCACUUGUAUAAGUGAAAGGCACCGAAGUCACCGCAAAUCUCAGGAGACAGAAGAGCUCAGAUGGGAAAUCACGCACUGUACAGGUCUACCUCCCCCUCUGGGAUCCAUCAUAAAAACAAAUAUUCUACCCACUGACAGACUAUCCCAUGGUUUCAUAAUCAUGACAUUUGAUUUUAUGAUGCAAAUUUAUAUGUUUAUAAGGAUUUUUUUCCCUGAGCCUAUCACAUAGUCCUGGACAGCGUAGACAAGAAUUGUCAAUAAAUUAGAGCUAGUAAUGGGUAUUUUACUUUUUAGUUUGGGCUUCCAGGCCAUGCCCACUGAAGCAUGUAAACAACCAACUAUGUGUGAGAUGUGGUGGUUUUAGAAGCUUACAACCACUUUUUCACUCACCGCUGUCCUCAUUCAGCGAGCCCGUGGAGAUGGAAAAGGUAGAAUCUUCCCUACAUAAUGGCUGUUCUUCAGAAUAAUUUCAUAAAAAUAGACCUAGUGCAGCCCAAUUAUUUCUACUCUUGUCUGAAAAGCAAGUGAAGGGUCUGAAGCAUGCCUUCAGGAACCAGUCCCGGGGGUGGAGUUGGCAUUGCUGUGAUUCUCUUUAUAUUUCUGAUUAUGAAGCCUAUUUAAGAAAAUACCCAGAGAAGGUUUUGG